rnacentral:rRNA from 1 species
UACGUAGGGUGCAAGCGUUGUCCGGAAUUAUUGGGCGUAAAGAGCUCGUAGGCGGUCUGUCGCGUCUGCUGUGAAAACUCGGGGCUUAACCCCGGGCCUGCAGUGGGUACGGGCAGACUAGAGUGUGGUAGGGGAGACUGGAAUUCCUGGUGUAGCGGUGAAAUGCGCAGAUAUCAGGAGGAACACCGGUGGCGAAGGCGGGUCUCUGGGCCGUAACUGACGCUGAGGAGCGAAAGCAUGGGGAGCGAACAGG